GUCCAGCUGAAGAGUCCCAAAUAGGACUAAGUGCGUGUCCUGGAU
rfam:Schistosoma rodhaini strain Burundi genome assembly, scaffold: SROB_scaffold0004913